CAGUCGAGCGGACAGAUGGGAGCUUGCUCCCUGAUGUUAGCGGCGGACGGGUGAGUAACACGUGGGUAACCUGCCUGUAAGACUGGGAUAACUCCGGGAAACCGGGGCUAAUACCGGAUGCUUGUUUGAACCGCAUGGUUCAAACAUAAAAGGUGGCUUCGGCUACCACUUACAGAUGGACCCGCGGCGCAUUAGCUAGUUGGUGAGGUAAUGGCUCACCAAGGCAACGAUGCGUAGCCGACCUGAGAGGGUGAUCGGCCACACUGGGACUGAGACACGGCCCAGACUCCUACGGGAGGCAGCAGUAGGGAAUCUUCCGCAAUGGACGAAAGUCUGACGGAGCAACGCCGCGUG
rnacentral:rRNA from 1 species